CCCCCAACCCUAACCAGAAGAGGGGGCAGGGAUGUCACUCAAAAUGGAUUAACCUAUCAGAGCCAGAAGUUGCUCUCUCUGCCCGCCCAAGAAGGUCCCGCUUACUCUCCUGUCCCACCUUCUUUGUGACGUCAUCGAAUCCUCGCCUUGCUUAGCACGGCCCCGCCUCUUGUAUUUAAAUACGGCGCUCAACAUGGCGGUACCUAUUUGGUCCGUCGGUCGCUGUUUUCUAGCGCAGGCCCUGGAAAAGACUGUUUCUUCAAGAGCCACGCUGUUUGGCUAACCACAGCUGCGUUUUAAUCCCUGAAGCCCUUUCAUCGCGGAGUGCGUGUGGGCUAUCGCCUGAAAACCAGCUGACCUUUAACGACCCUCACCACCUCUGCUCCGGAAGUGCUUGCUGGUCCCAGGGGCAAGGCUGGAGGCUUGGCGACUAUCAUGCAGUCAGUAUUUGCUUUGGAUCUUGGAAGUUAAGUCAAUUACCAUUGUGGUCGGAGUAUAUGGUGGAUGUGAUCCAUUACAAUGCGUCUUGUUGGAUUCUGUCACAUUCCGGCGGUGCCCCAAAGAAAUGAAAUCUGAACUUGUGCGUUGGGGUCCCUGAGCCCCACAGUGACAGGAUUUGCUUUGAUUCACGGAAGCAUGGGUUCCUCAUCAGCUACAGAUCUGGUAAAUUCAUUGGCUUCACCCUUAAGGGUCAGUGUUUCCUGAAACUCUCAUUCUGAUUCUGCACAACCCUUAAUGUUUUCUCCUCUUCCCAUAAAGCCUUCCAUAUUCUCCAGCCCUUCUCUGAGGUUACGUGUAUUUGUGCUCAAGAGGAUUUUUUUUUUUGUACUGGGUAUCGAACUCAUGACCUAGUGCUUGCCAGGCAAGCACUUAUGCCGCUGAGCUAAAUCCCUGGCUCAAGAGGAUAUUUUUAAAACCUAUUCCUGUGCAGUCCUUGUUGGCUCUUGUGCCCCGAACCCCAGAAAACUAGAGUCAUCUGUUUUGUAGAUGCUGCUAAUGAUUUCUAAAGAGAAAAGGAGAAAAGGAAUAAGGAGAUAUUUUUCUGGGCUUCCGGAGCCCACUGUUCAUUAUAUGAGAACCUGAGAUGAACCAGGGAAUGCUGAAGUCAGGCUUUAUCAGAGAGAGAGGGGAUGACAGCUAGCUUCACCUAUCCAGAGGCAAGGCAGCUGCCCCAUGGCCUGGCUUACUGAAGUCCUCUGGUGGACAGGACGGAGGGUAGCCCUUUAGCAGAGAUGGCAAACCUUUUGCCUAAUGGGUCAGAGCCUAAAUAUUUCAGGCUCUGCAAACAAAAGCUCUGCCUCCUGCUGGAAAAACUGCAUAGGCCGUGUACAGGCUGGUGACUGUGACUGCAUUCUCAAAAAGUUGUGAUUUUUUUAGACUCUGAAAUUUGAAUUUAAAUAAAACCCAUAAGUAACAAAAUCUUUUUUUUGAUUUUGUCCCCCACGUCCUUGGCCAUGACCAUUAGAGAAGAUAAAAGCCAUUCUUAGUUCUUGGACCAUUAAAAAAAGAGAGAGAAAAGAAGAGGAGGAAGAGGAGCCUGGAUUUGGCUUUCAGGAUAGUUUGUACAUUCUUUAGUUUAAUGGAAGAAGAGGAGGAGAAAGGGCAAGAAGUGUGGUAAAGAUGGGAACAAAGAUAGGUAAAGAUGAGACAAUGAAAAUCGUAAUUUUAAAAUUGUACUUUUAAGAAAAAUUUUAGUUACUCUAGGUUAUGAUGCUUUUUUCUCAUCCAGGGAACUUCACUCAAAAGAAAAAAAAAAAAUGCUCCUAGUCUGAAAGAGGCAACAAGCCGGUAAAUGAGGGGUUCCUGCCACUCUGCUCCUCACUAUACCUUUGGGUUGGGCCAUUUCCUUUCCACUAUCACAUGACACAUCCCCUUUCUUUUGUAAAGUGGGCCUUUCCCCUGUGAAUGGGCCCACAAUUUCACCUGUGAAUUGAAGAAUUCAAGUUGUAGAGCUUCACAGAUUCCACAGAUUUCUGCCUCUGACAACAUGAAAUCAGUUCCAGACUAUUAGACACUGCCCUUAGGGGCCCCCCUGUGGACUCUCUGAAUCUAUGUAUCCUUUUUAGUUGUAGUAAGCUAGUAAGCUUCUUUAUCCUUUUUUCAGAUAGCUUGAAGAUUCUUUUUCUAGAGGAUUCUUUUUCUUGAUAAAGUCAGGUGAGCCAACAGUCACCCCCAAGAGUAGGGUGAGAUGAGUUUUCUGAUCUCCAGUUUAGGGAACCUCAUCAGAUCCUGCUCAG
ensembl:lincRNA